UACGUAGGACCCAAGCGUUAUCCGGAAUCACUGGGCGUAAAGAGUUGCGUAGGUGGCAUAGUAAGCAAAUAGUGAAAUGAUACGGCUCAACCGUAUGCCCAUUAUUUGAACUGCUAAGCUUGAGCAUGAGAGAGGUAGAUGGAAUUUCUAGUGUAGGAGUGAAAUCCGUAGAUAUUAGAAGGAACACCGAUGGCGUAGGCAGUCUACUGGCUCAUUGCUGACACUAAGGCACGAAAGCGUGGGGAGCGAACGGG
rnacentral:rRNA from 1 species